rnacentral:tRNA from 1 species
UUUAGGGAGACCAUCUGAUAGUCGACCGAACCUAAACAAUAGGUCGUUGUCAGUCAUCCCUGGUCGUUCGAGGAAUAGAUGUCAAAGCUUUCAAACUAUUAACUGGUUCGGAACUCGCGGGCUAUUAGCUCAGUUGGUUAGAGCGCACCCCUGAUAAGGGUGAGGUCCCUGGUUCAAAUCCAGGAUGGCCCACCUGGAAAAAAGUGAUGAAUUGUCAGUAAUGAGUAAUGGAUAAUCAAGGAUUAAUUCAGGAUUAAUUCAGGACUCAUACAAUCAAAAUCAGAACUUACAAGUGUGGGGGUAUAGCUCAGUUGGUAGAGCGCCUGCCUUGCACGCAGGAAGUCAGCGGUUCGAGUCCGCUUACCUCCACUCUCACUAACUAUUACCACCGCCAAAAAAACCCAAAAAAAUAGAAAUCAGCACCCAGACUAACUUGGUCAACAAAGAAGUCGGAAUGCUGGAGUCUAGAACUCUAGUCAGAACCUUGAAAACUGCAUAGAAAUUAAGUCAUCAAAGCGUGUCAGUCAUCCGAGAAAUCGGAGUAUCUGACCAGCGACCACCAGAAAAAAUCAAGUGUC